rnacentral:rRNA from 1 species
AUUGAACGCUGGCGGCAUGCUUUACACAUGCAAGUCGAACGGCAGCGCGGGCUUCGGCCUGGCGGCGAGUGGCGAACGGGUGAGUAAUACAUCGGAACGUGCCCAGACGUGGGGGAUAGCUCGGCGAAAGCCGGAUUAAUACCGCAUACGACCUGAGGGUGAAAUCGGGGGAUCUUCGGACCUCGCGCUAUUGGAGCGGGCGAUGUCCGAUUAGCUAGUUGGGGGGGUAAAGGCCUAGCAAGGCGACGAUCUGUAGCUGGUCUGAGGGGACGACCAGCCACACUGUGACUGAGACACGGCCCAGACUCCUACGGGAGGAAGCGGUGGGGAAUUUUGGAGGAUGGGGGAAAGCCUGAUCCAGCACUGCCGCGUGUGUGAUGAUGGACUUCGGCUUGUAGAGCACUUUUGGCCGGAACGAAAAGGACUGUGCUAACACCACAGUUCGAUGACGGUACCCGCAGAAUAAGCACCGGCUAACUCCGUG